rnacentral:rRNA from 1 species
GUAGGUGGCAAGCGUUGUCCGGAAUUAUUGGGCGUAAAGCGCGCGCAGGUGGUUCUUUAAGUCUGAUGUGAAAGCCCCCGGCUCAACCGGGGAGGGUCAUUGGAAACUGGGGAACUUGAGUGCACGAGAGGAAAGUGGAAUUCCACGUGUAGCGGUGAAAUGCGUAGAUAUGUGGAGGAACACCAGUGGCGAAGGCGACUUUCUGGCCUGUAACUGACACUGGAGGCGACGAAAGCGGUGGGGAGACAAACAGGGAUUAGACUACCCGUGGUAGUCCACGACCGUAAACGAUGAGUGACUAAGUGGUUGGGGGGGUUUCCCCGCCCCUCAGUGCUGCAGCUAACGCAUUAAGCACUCCGCCGUGGGGAGUACGGUCGACAAGACUG